ensembl:lncRNA
GGAAGUACAUCUGUUUAUUGUCAUUUGAAUUUACAGGCGACGCAGAGUGUUACAGCUCCUACUUCUGAGGGAAGAAGUCGAAUAUGCUGAACACAAAGUUCAAAACACAUUUAUUAAGUGUAGAUGCUGGAUUUAGCAGGAAAAUAUAUCAUUACAAAGUAUAAACCAAACUUUUUUGAGUUAUGGAGGGAAGCCGCUGUGUUUGGUCUAAUGAAAAUUUUAAUGUUUUUGUUUAAAAAAAUAAAAAUAAUGGCAUGUUAUUUAAAAAGAAAAAGCAACAUGAUGAACUAAUCUAUAAAAACACAAAUGUCAUCAUUUACAAUUGAAAAUAUUUAUAAUGACAUUAAGAAAUAUUUGGUUAAAACUCUUCCAUUGUUGAAUACUUUUUUCUUUUGCUACAACAUCGUGAUAACAGAAAGGAACUGAGAGCAAGCGUGUUCACAAAUGAAGAACAGAAUGAAGCCACAUCCUGAAAAACAGCUGCUACACGACUCAUUGACCACCGACAUUUAACGGCUAAAUGCAGACGUUCAUUUUUAACAAAAAAAGAAGAAGUCCCUACGUAUCCGUUCUUAUGUAUGUGUGAAAUGUUUAAGUGCUACAUUGUAUAUAUUAACUCACGCUCACAUUGUCACUUUAAAGAAGAGAGAGAAAAGAGGAAGUGGAUGUAGAAAUGUAAACCUUGUACGGACAUAUUAGGCCGAGGAUUGCAAAAACGUUCUUUUAGAAAUAAACCGCUGUACCACAAAUUUUGUGCAACUCGUCGUACAUUUGUCAAUCGUUGUGUUCAGUGGGAGAAUUCCCCUGUUUUCAUGUUCAUGUUGGUUGUGCUGCACAUAAAAUAGAAAAUGAUGCUCAGUGCACCGGCCAUGUAAACCAGUGGUGUACAGGCUUACCUGCACACAAACAUAGUUAAUAAAUACAUGUAAUUAAUGACAUUAUUACCUGAGAUAAGUUACAUUUGGACCAUAUAAAUCAUACAUUAAUAUGGUGCAUAUUACAAAAUGAUUUGCACACUAACCUUUACAUCUCUCACGCUGCUUUACAUUCAUACUGUUCCACAGUAAAAAUAUGUACUUUACAAAUACUGUACAAAUAGUAAAUUAAAACUAAAAAAGGGCACUUAUAACUGAAGUCUCAAUGGAGGAUAUCUUCAAUCAAACAUGCUCCUGCUCAGGAUUGUAGAAUUGCCACCAGUCUUUUAUAAUUAGAUAACUUUGCUUGCUUGGGUAGCGUCACAUGAAUGUUUCACGACAAUGACUAAAUCCUUAUGAAAAAAUAAAUGCUUAAUUGUAGUCCAACCAAACCUAUAAAGGGCUCUGGUGCAACAGUUGAAUCUCUUUGGGUUUCCAAUGGUGUGCACACACUAAAAGACUAACUGCUGCUACAAUACUGCACACGAUGGUCCACAUACAGUCAUUGCUGUGAACAAAGUAGCAAAAUGAUUGUUCUUUUAUAUACGUUUUUAUAACCCCCCUCCUGCGUGGUCAAUGAUUAGCUCACUAGAGUUUGCGGGUCAGAAGUUGAACUGUGUUUCAAUGAGAGGGUUCAACUAAAAAAAUGAUCCCAGGUGGUUGUGUAAUGACACUACAACUAUCAGAUUCAUGUUUACAUCAUUUCAAGUUUACAGCGUGAAGGUAAAUACGAAAGGGGAACAUAAUGUUGCUAUUGGAAUAUUCAAAUAUUAUAAUAUCUAUUUAAUAUUAUGAAUAAUUUUCAUAAAAUCGGGGGAAAGGAAUUGAAGCUUCUGCCUUCAUCUGUUCAGUCUCUAAACCCUGUGAAUCAUCGCUCUCUACGCACCUUGGCGUACACGCACUCGUCUGCAGCUGGUUCAACAUUGUGUCGGGGUCGCUGUGAAAACUUCACUUCCCCGUACUCCACCUCCUCCUCUGCUCUCUGCUUCAUCUGCCUCCCCGGCCGCGGCCCAAUCCUGACCUCAGAAUAGGUUAAUUCCUGGUUGUCUUC